CCUACGGGUGGCAGCAGUGAGGAAUAUUGGUCAAUGGACGAGAGUCUGAACCAGCCAAGUAGCGUGAAGGAUGACUGCCCUAUGGGUUUUAAACUUCUUUUAUAUGGGAAUAAAAUAUUCCACGUGUGGGAUUUUGUAUGUACCAUAUGAAUAAGGAUGGGCUAACUCCGUGCCAGCAGCCGCGGUAAUACGGAGGAUCCGAGCGUUAUCCGGAUUUAUUGGGUUUAAAGGGAGCGUAGGUGGAUUGGUAAGUCAGUUGUGAAAGUUGGCGGCUCAACCGUAAAAUUGCAGUUGAAACUGGCAGUCUGGAGUACAGUAGGGGUGGGCGGAAUUCGUGGUGUAGCGGUGAAAUGCUUAGAUAUCACGAAGAACUCCGAUGGCGAAGGCAGCCCACUGGACUGCAACUGACACUGAGGCUCGAAAGCGUGGGUAUCAAACAGGAUUAGAUACCCGAGUAGUC
rnacentral:rRNA from 1 species